rnacentral:rRNA from 1 species
UACGUAGGCGGCCAUAUAAGUCAGAAGUGAAAGGCUACGGCUUAACCGUAGUAAGCUUUUGAAACUGUAUGGCUUGAGUGCAGGAGAGGAAAGCGGAAUUCCUAGUGUAGCGGUGAAAUGCGUAGAUAUUAGGAAGAACACCAGUGGCGAAGGCGGCUUUCUGGACUGAAACUGACGCUGAGGUACGAAAGCGUGGGGAGCGAACAGGAUUAGAUACCCUGGUAGUCC